rnacentral:rRNA from 1 species
GCAAACUGCGAAUACCGGAGAAUGUUAUCACGGGAGACACACGGCGGGUGCUAACGUCCGUCGUGAAGAGGGAAACAACCCAGACCGCCAGCUAAGGUCCCAAAGUCAUGGUUAAGUGGGAAACGAUGUGGGAAGGCCCAGACAGCCAGGAUGUUGGCUUAGAAGCAGCCAUCAUUUAAAGAAAGCGUAAUAGCUCACUGGUCGAGUCGGCCUGCGCGGAAGAUGUAACGGGGCUAAACCAUGCACCGAAGCUGCGGCAGCGACGCUUAUGCGUUGUUGGGUAGGGGAGCGUUCUGUAAGCCUGUGAAGGUGUGCUGUGAGGCAUGCUGGAGGUAUCAGAAGUGCGAAUGCUGACAUAAGUAACGAUAAAGCGGGUGAAAAGCCCGCUCGCCGGAAGACCAAGGGUUCCUGUCCAACGUUAAUCGGGGCAGGGUGAGUCGACCCCUAAGGCGAGGCCGAAAGGCGUAGUCGAUGGGAAACAGGUUAAUAUUCCUGUACUUGGUGUUACUGCGAAGGGGGGACG